AAGCUAUAGUCAGUGUCUCUAUGUGGUC
rnacentral:sRNA from 1 species